rnacentral:ribozyme from 1 species
UCAAAUAUUUGUGCGCAAAUUGUGCCCCGGACCUUAAAUUUUUCCGUUUUUUCUUUUCGGUUUUUCUUUUGCUUUGGCCUUUUGAGUCUUGGUGCUUAUUCGGUUAUUUAAAAAAAAAGCCAAAUGCCUGUCGCCAUACAAAUGAAGGAC